UGGCGACCGGCGCACGGGUGCGUAACGCGUAUGCAACCUACCUUUAACAGGGGGAUAACACUGAGAAAUUGGUACUAAUACCCCAUAAUAUCAUAGAAGGCAUCUUUUAUGGUUGAAAAUUCCGAUGGUUAGAGAUGGGCAUGCGUUGUAUUAGCUAGUUGGUGGGGUAACGGCUCACCAAGGCGACGAUACAUAGGGGGACUGAGAGGUUAACCCCCCACACUGGUACUAAGACACGGACCAG
rnacentral:rRNA from 1 species